rnacentral:rRNA from 1 species
CGAUUGACGGAGCGAAGCGACGUCAAAGCGUAUACAAAGUCGAGUCGGUUUAAGGAUACGUUCGUUGGGUAGGGGAGCGUUCUGUAAGCCUGUGAAGGUGGCCUGUGAGGGUUGCUGGAGGUAUCAGAAGUGCGAAUGCUGACAUAAGUAACGAUAAAGCGGGUGAAAAGCCCGCUCGCCGGAAGACCAAGGGUUCCUGUCCAACGUUAAUCGGGGCAGGGUGAGUCGACCCCUAAGGCGAGGCCGAAAGGCGUAGUCGAUGGGAAACGGGUUAAUAUUCCCGUACUUGGUGUUACUGCGAAGGGGGGACGGAGAAGGCUAUGUUGGCCGGGCGACGGUUGUCCCGGUUUAAGCGUGUAGGUGUGUGUUCCAGGUAAAUCCGGUUCACUUUAACACUGAGGCGUGACGACGAGGCACUACGGUGCUGAAGCAACAAAUGCCCUGCUUCCAGGAAAAGCCUCUAAGCAUCAGGUAACAUCAAAUCGUACCCCAAACCGACACAGGUGGUCAGGUAGAGAAUACCAAGGCGCUUGAGAGAACUCGGGUGAAGGAACUAGGCAAAAUGGUGCCGUAACUUCGGGAGAAGGCACGCUGACACGUAGGUGAAGUGAUUUACUCAUGGAGCUGAAGUCAGUCGAAGAUACCAGCUGGCUGCAACUGUUUAUUAAAAACACAGCACUGUGCAAACACGAAAGUGGACGUAUACGGUGUGACGCCUGCCCGGUGCCGGAAGGUUAAUUGAUGGGGUCAGCGCAAGCGAAGCUCCUGAUCGAAGCCCCGGUAAACGGCGGCCGUAACUAUAACGGUCCUAAGGUAGCGAAAUUCCUUGUCGGGUAAGUUCCGACCUGCACGAAUGGCGUAAUGAUGGCCAGGCUGUCUCCACCCGAGACUCAGUGAAAUUGAACUCGCUGUGAAGAUGCAGUGUACCCGCGGCAAGACGGAAAGACCCCGUGAACCUUUACUAUAGCUUGACACUGAACAUUGAGCCUUGAUGUGUAG